rnacentral:rRNA from 1 species
GCAAGUCGAGGGGCAGCAUAAAGUACUUGUACUUUGAUGGCGACCGGCGAACGGGUGCGUAACGCGUAUGCAACUUACCUUUUACUAGAGAAUAGCCAAGAGAAAUUUUGAUUAAUGCUCUAUACUCUUUUUAACUCACAUGAGAUUUUAAGAAAAGCUCCGGCGGUAAAAGAUGGGCAUGCGUCCUAUUAGCUUGUAGGUGAGGUAACGGCUCACCUAAGCUCCGAUAGGUAGGGGUCCUGAGAGGGAGAUC